rnacentral:misc_RNA from 1 species
GAUGAAGAACGUAGCGAAAUGCGAUAAGUAAUGCGAAUUGCAGAAUUCCGUGAGUCAUCGAAUCUUUGAACGCACAUUGCGCCCCCUGGUAUUCCGGGGGGCAUGCCUGUUCGAGCGUCAUUUCACCACUCAAGCCUCGCUUGGUAUUGGGCAACGCGGUCCGCCGCGUGCCUCAAAUCGUCCGGCUGGGUCUUCUGUCCCCUAAGCGUUGUGGAAACUAUUCGCUAAAGGGUGUUCGGGAGGCUACGCCGUAAAACAACCCCAUUUCUAAGGUUGACCUCGGAUCAGGUAGGGAUACCCGCUGAACUUAAGCAUAUCAAUAAGCGGAGGA